GCGAGCGUAUUUUUAACGGUAGAACAGCAGCCUUCCAAGCUGCGAGUGUGGGUUCAACUCCCAUCGCUUGCU
rnacentral:tRNA from 1 species